GAAAUAUGAUAUUCAAGAGCGAGCUUCUAACUCGAUUCUCAAGCGAUGAAAUUUCGUUUAUAUUUCU
rnacentral:tRNA from 1 species